GAAAUGCGAUAAGUAAUGUGAAUUGCAGAAUUCAGUGAAUCAUCGAAUCUUUGAACGCACAUUGCGCCCGCCAGUAUUCUGGCGGGCAUGCCUGUUCGAGCGUCAUUUCAACCAUCAAGCCCCCGGCUUGUGUUGGGGACCUGCGGCUGCCCGCAGGCCCUGAAAAACAGUGGCGGGCUCGCUGUCACACCGAGCGUAGUAGCAUACAUUCUCGCUCAGGGCGUGCUGCGGGUUCCGGCCGUUAAACGACCUUCAUAACCCAAGGUUGACCUCGGAUCAUGUAGGAAGACCCGCUGAACUUAAGC
rnacentral:misc_RNA from 1 species